GACGAACGCUGGCGGCGCGCUUAACACAUGCAAGUCGAACGGAAAUUCCUGCUUUUCCUUGUGGAUUGCUGGUACUCGAGCGGCGAACGGGUGAGUAACACGUGAGUGUUCUGCCCCCAACUUGGGUAUAAGCCUGGGAAACUGGGUCUAAUUCUCGAUAGCAUCGCAGGGUGGUGCCUUUGGUGGCAGACGAUUCUCUAGUGGUUGGGGAUGAGCUCGUGGCCUAUCAGCUUGUUGGUGGGGUAAUGGCCUACCAAGGCGGCGACGGGUAGGCGGGGUGGAAGGGUGGACGGGCACAUUAGAACUGAGCUACAGCCCAGAGUCAUACGGGAGGCAGGAGUGGGGAGUAAUGGACAAUGGGCUGAAGCCUCAACGAGGGACGAGGGGUGGGGGAUGACGGCCCGUGGGUUGUAAUCGCCUUUCGAGCGCGAGGAAGCCACGUGGUUGGAAGGGUGGUGACGGUAGUGGUAGAAGAAGCACCGGCUAACUACGUG
rnacentral:rRNA from 1 species